AGACAAAGUGUAUACAUUUUCAAGGUACCUGUUGAAACAACGGAUGCAAUUCUUUUACCAAAAGGGUUGUGCUGAAAACUCCAAAAUAAUACAGACAUUUCCUAGGCAGAGGGUUCUAAGAACCAGGAAAAUUGGCUGUUCAUUGGGCUCUAGUUUAUUCAGCCUUUGGGGACAUCUUGCGGGAUAUUGCACCGGCUAGUUUUAUAGAGUCAUUCGAAGCAAGAAAACCUCAACUGAGAAAAUGGCUCUAUCAAGAUUCCGCUGCAGGUAAGUCUGUAAAGCGUUUUCUUUAAUGAUUGGUGUCUCUGGGAUGUAGGUGGUACCAUCUUGGACUGGUGGUUCCGGUUAUAAGAAUGCAGAUUAAGCAAGCCACGAGGUGCAAGCCGGUAAGCAGCAAACCUCCAUGGUCUCUGCAUCAGGUUCUGCCCCAGACUCCUGACCAGUUUGAGUUCCUGCCUUGGCUUCCCUCAGUGAACGUAACAGGCGGGAGACCAGGCCCUGAGGCCGGUAGCCGCUCGCCCACCGCCCGUCUCUGCCAGCCCGGUCACCUGUUUCCGCACCCCCCGAAGGCUGUUCUUCGCUCCCGACGCUCGCGACUCUGGUUCCUGGACAACUGAGGUGCCUGGAAAUAGAGUGCGGGACUCGGCUCCUUCUCUGGGAACACAGGGGCAAGCGGGUCAGGAGCCCCACGCCGCGAGCAGCCAUUGUCACGGCAGCAGGAAGUAAACGCCAGAGGUCAGCCGGCUUCUGUGCGAGCAUGCGCGCCGAGAGACUGCGACAACGGGAAGCCUGUUGGGUCAAACUAGGAAGGCAAUGUGGAGUAGAAAGCAAAAUGGGGAGGUCAAAAUGGAAAUCGCUGAGAUUUGCAUAAACUUACGUGUUCUGAAUUUAACUUUCUGUUGCCUCACUGAACUCUGGUGAGGUGUUGCUACUCCAUUAUACAGAGUUGAACUUCUUACGUUUUAUUCACAUCUUAUUGAAAAGGAAGGUGAAUGAGCCUCAGAAGUCAGACUCAGGUCAGACGACCAAAGUUAUUGUUUUGUCCCUAAAUAUGCACUUUUAAAAUACCAAAUACCUAAAUAAAUAUCUUUUUUUUUAAAGUGCUAA